rnacentral:lncRNA from 1 species
AGGAGAGAAGGCUCCUUGUCAAGUGACCCUAGCCAUUUGCUCCAGCGGGGUGUGGGGUGUCGGGAGGGGGCUGCUGAGAGGGUGUCCCGACUCUGUUGGGCUGGUGCCUCAGCCCCAAGGACACACCGUGGCAGUUGACACGGGUACCCAGACCACGCAAUGGCAUUCUUGACGUGAGAUGCAGGGGCCAGCGUCUGGGAAACCUCCCAUGGACCUUCACGCCUUGGUCCAAACGCUGCCCCUUGGCAUCGAUUCAGAAAUGGCCUCUGGAGGGGGGGAGACUUCUUGUCAUCUUCCUUGUCUACACCCGCUCUGCUCGGCCGCCUUUCUUAGGGGAACUUGAAGAAUACACACAAAAGAAGCUAAGUUAUUGUCCUUUGCACAGACGUCAUCCUGAUGGAAUAUGCCAACCCCAACACACUUGUCCGUUUAUAAUCUAGGAAAUGAGAAAUGGUAGUUUAUGUGAAUAUUACACAAGUAUGCAUAUGUGUAAUUGAAUAGAGUCUGUAUGUAUACAUGUAUAUAUCCCGUAAUAACUGCUUGAGCAUGUUCUCCUCAGAAUGCUUGGAGAAAGGCAGGGCAAGUGUUUUUAAUCCCUGGACCACGAAUAAAUGAACGUUAUGGGAAAACCCCGGGGAUCCAAAACCAUGCGUAGCUGUUUCCAAAGAUUUUUUGCUUUUUAGCGCAGCACCUGCGGCAUAUGGAGGUUCCCAGGCUAGAGGUCGAAUUGGAGCUGCAGCCACAGCAGUGUGGCAUCGAGCCAUGUCUGUGACCUACACCACAGCUCAUGGCAAUGCCAGAUCCUUCACCCACUGAGCGAGGCCAGGGAUCAAACACCUCAUCUUCAUGGAUCCUAGUCGGAAUUGUUAACCGCUGAACCAUGAAGGGAACGCCUCAAAGAUUUUUAAGCCACUUAAUGAUGCUUCUCAGGUAGACAUUGCUCCAUUUGCAGAAAACUGAAGUUGGGAGAAGUUAAAUGAUCUUCCCUCGGUGAUGGGUUUGUGUGGCGUUGACUCACAGUGUGGAGAUAGAGUCUAGACGUGGGUCUUCUGGCUCCAACUGAAAUGCUCUAUUGAUGCUCAAAAGCCAUGCACAAUUCUGACUUGCAAGGAAGGCUUCGGGGGUCUUAUCCAGACUCCAUUAAUCUAGUGAGUAAUGCUCGAGUUGGAAGGGGUUGAAUCCUGUCAUCCAAAGGCAUGUUCCUCAAAGCUGCUUACCCAAAAGAAGGAUAUUGAUCCAUCUCUGUCUAGGGUCGGGCAUGCUCUACUCGUAAUAGGUAAGACAUGGGAGCAACCUAAAUGUCCAUCGACAGAUGAAUGGAGAAAGAAGAAGUGGUGCACACUCACAGUGGAACAAAACAAUGCCAUUUGCAGCAACAUGCAUGCAACUAGAGGUUUUGAUGCCAAGUGGAGUCAGAGACAAACGCCCUGUGAUAGGACUGCCGUGGAAUCUCACAUAGGGCCCAGAUGAACCUAUCCCUGAAACAGAAACAGACGCACAGACAUGGAGAAUAGUCUCGGGGUUGCCAAGGCGGAGGCGUGGGAUGAAUGGGGGGUUGAGGGGUUCGUAGAUGCAAACUAUGACCCUUAGAAUUGGAUUUGCCAAGACGUCUUGCUGUUCAACACAGGAAACUAUAUCCAGUCUCUUGGGGUAGUCUGAGAAGAAAGAAGAAAAGGAGUGUGUGUAUAUGCCUAUAUGAUGUGUGCAUAUAUGUAUGUAUAUGUGUAUACAUAUGUGACUGGGUCCCUUUGUGGUACAGCAGAAAUUUGCACAACAUUGUAAAUCAACUAUAAUCAUAAAUCACUAAGAGAAGGUGGGGCAUGCUUCUGUAGUUCGGUUUGAAGAACCGGAGCUGUUGAGCUGUCUCAUACGUAAACUGUGUUGCAGAGCCAGGGCGAGGACCAGCAGGGAUGUGCAAAAGCCAAACGCCGUCAUGUCUGCGGGAUGUUGGAUACGCGGUGGCUGAGGAGGAAGGGGAUGUCAACAGUGGGAACCUCAGAGCCAGACACACCAGGGCUCUGAUCUUAGGCCCACCCAUCACUAGCCUUUGCGCCGUGGACUUAACCCCAUGAAGGAGAGGCUCUCCAGUGACAGCAGGCAGCAUUCGCUUCUUUCCAGGGCUCCCCUGGCUGCCUGUAUACACCCAUGGCAGUGAAUGUGUCUGCAGGAGACCUGUUACAGGCCUCGGGCUCGAGCCUUUAUUGUGGUGGAAAGGGUGCUGCACCCACGUGAACGAGCGCUGUUGGUAACGGAAGAGAAGCAGUCCACAGGCUCUUCCUCCUUAAUCAGACGGUGGGGGGGAGGCCACGCUGUUCGAGCCUCUCUGUUGAGACUGGAGGAAAAGCCGGAGCUGUGUCGCCUGGGGCUUCGCCUGUGUUCCAUGCCAUCCGUGUGUGAGGAUUUCAGAAGUGGGCUGAGACCUAGAAGCGAUGGAGAGGAUCUCUCGGAAGUUGAGAGAGGGCGUGGUUCUUGGAGAUGCCAGCUGUGGAGUGUGGUGGGCCUGCCGGGUGGACCUGGAGCCCAGCUGGGGGUCGGGGGGGGAUGUCAGGCGGGACGACACAAAGGAGCUCGGAGGGCGUUCUGGGCAGGUGCCCGCAGAGGCAGUUGCAAAGCAUCCUUGAUGCCCCUCUACUCACUGUAUUCAUGGAUGUGUGUGGUCGGAGAGCUUGGACGCCUGGGUUUUCAUAAGUGAUGAAAAUGCUAUGACGGUACCAGGAGCAAUCCCCCCCUUUUGUCUUUCAAGACUCCAGUCCAACCCGCACUCCUCUUUCUCCCUACUCUUCCCUCACAGCGAAUCUCUGGAAGUUCAGCCACCUCUCUGCGCACAUCAUUCGUAUGCGUCUGUCACCCCAACACGCACGCACACUCACGCGGAGGGAGGCUCGCAUCUACCUCUGAGUUGAGCCAAAGUGCCGGCUGAAGGCCGGUAAGAGUUGAGGGAGGUUCCCAUAAGCCUCAGAGCCAGUGGAGAUGAGAGAAGCAGGGCGUGGAGCCUGUGCUGGAAGGCAGGUAGCUUCCAGACACAUGCGUCUGUUGGAUAUAUUCCCAUGGCUCCACCGUUGCAGAAGGUAUUCCAUUUCGUGAGUUCAGAGUGGGUAAUUCUCAUGCAAAUAUGUAGGCAAGUGGAUAGGCCUUUGCCCUUACCUGACCCAGAAUGAACAAGGGGAGGAAGGAAGAGAAGCUUCAUUUCCAGGAAAACUGUACCCAAGCACAGGCAGCCCAUGAAGAAAGAAGAGCCUCCGAUUAGCCGUGUGUGAUCAUAGAUGCUGAUUAUCCUAAUAGAGGAGUUUAAUUACGAGGUGACACUGGGCUUGCAUUUGAAGGAAGAACUUAAGUUCAUUUGUUUCUUCAUACAAAAAAUGUUUAUACCAAGCAACUGUUUGUAUUUGGUGCCGGAUUUCUCAGGUUUGGUGUCCCCAGAAGACCUGAGUCAAGGAUUCUGUGAAAGUCUUUUUAUUAAGAAUGUGCUCCCGUGAUAAACUGAGAAAGGAAAGGGGAAGUUUCUGGGAUUCUCUGAGCCUAGAUGUUUCCUUUGUGUUGCAAAGAGGCAGAGAGGGAUCAAGAACCUGCAGCCCAACCCCUGGUUCUGACUGUAAGUAGUGGGGGCCUUAGAUGCGUUCCUUCAAACGCUUUCCUGAAAGCCUCUGGAACAAUUGAAUAGAGUAACUGCAGUUUCGCAAAUGCCCUGUGAGCCUUCCAGGCUCAGAGCAGGGAGACACAGUGGCAGAACGGCGAAAUGCCCCGUUGUGAGAACACGGCGGAGACCCAACGCGGCACCGCAACCGCCCCCAGCAGCCCGGGAGCGAGGUGGGAGUGAGGUCGCUAGUUAAUGUGGGCGUUCACAAGUGAUGUUUUUACAGGACGGAGAUGUACCCCUCUCAGGCUGAAGCCGACAUUCUAGAAUAGAAAGAAAAAGUCGCUUCUCCCUGAUGCUGCUAAAACAAGGGUUGACAGAAUAACUCAAGAUUCCAGUUAGAAAGCAUGACAUUUUUUUUUUUUUUAGUUUUAUUGAUGUAUAAUGGACAGUGGAAUUUGUGUAUAUUUAAGGUGAUGCACACACACAUUGUCAAAUGCCACUAACAGCUUCGUACCUCCCUCGGUUACCAUGUCCGUCCUUCCCACUUCCUCUGUCCCUCCCCUUCCUCCUUCCCUCCUGCACCCCCCCAUCCCUCCCUUCCUCCCCCCCCCACCGCCUUUCUCUCUCUCCACUUAAGAUCUAAGGUAGCAAAAUUGAGGUAUCCAGUACAGAGGAACUGUAGUCAUCAUGCCCAUUGAAUCUCCAGAAUGUAUUCUUUUGGCAUAACUGAGACUUCGUACACUUUGGGAACCUCCCCCCCCCAAAUCCCCGCUCCACCUUGUCUCUGGUAACUGCGUUCCACUCUCCGUGAACGUGUGGCAUCUCAUGCCCACCUGGAGCACCAACGAGUUGGUGUAUCCAAAACACAUCCAAGUCCGAAUCUGCCCCCGUGUGAGAACCCACAGCCGUGGGACAGCAGAGAUGGGCUCAGAGGCAGAACGGUGAGGUGUUCCGGCGUGUAUAGAAGUUGACUCGGUAGAGAAGGAGAAUGGCAUCACCCAUCCCUCAUUUGUUUACUCAGUAACACGAAGCUGCUGCUGGGUACCAGUGGUGGGCUGAGCCGUGGGGAUGCCGCAACAAAUGGAGCAAACCUAGUCUCUCCUCUCACAGAACUUCUAGGGGAAGAAGGACAGACCUAAGGUCAGUAGUAAAAACAUGCAGUGUUUUAAGUGGGGAUCGUGUGAUGGAGAAAAAUCAACCACGGUAGGAAGUGAGACUGCUGUGUUGUAUGGGGGCCAAGAAAGGUUUCACACGUGAGAGGGCUCUGGAGGAGGUGAGUCACACGUUCCUGACAAAGUAUGUGCAAUAGAUAUGUGUGUGUGUGUGUAUUUCGUGUUCAGAGGAUGCCCAUUGUGGCUGCUGGUGCUCCAGUGAGGAGGGGAGUGGGAGGUCCUGGUGGUGGAAGAGGCCGGUUAUGUGCGGCGAUUCUUCCAUUCUAGGCCUUCAACUGAUUGGACCAGGCCCACCCACACUAUAGACUGCAACCUGCGUGACUCAAAGUCUACCAGUUUAAACCUCAUCCAGAACACCCUCAUGAAAACACCUGGAGGUUCUCAAACCAUGAGGCACAUUAUAACUACCUGAGAGCGGAGUUCCCAUCGUGGUGCAGUGGUUAACGAAUCCGACUAGGAACCAUGAGGUUUCGGGUUCGGUCCCUGGCCUUGCUCAGUGGGUUAA